GCUACUGUCAGUCAUUCCAACAAGUUGACUUAGCGCUCAGUCACUUUCCAUCUAUUAGAUCCUCAUGCUGUCAAAAAUCUAAAACUCCUGUUUGAAGCCCACAUAGAGUGGAAUACAAAUGUAAGGAAAUAAGGUAUUUUCCCACUACUGCUACCAAAGCAACCAGACUACGUCAAAUGCCUUACUAAAUCAUCACCCAAAUGAUAAAGGAAAUUUAUCCCACCUGAGGAGUAAUGCUGUUGGUUGCUGUAAUUCCAUUAUAACGGUUUUUCAUCAUGAACAUUUCAGUGUGCUUCCUAGAAAAGAGAAUGCUAGAUCUUCACGGACAUCCUUGAGCAAUUGAAUGCUGGAUUUUGUCCAUGACAGAAGAGGGACUUCCACCAACGUUCUGCUCCAUCCUUAUCUUCAAGACGUACGCUCAUCAUUCAUCAAGCUUCACUGCUUCAGUGCUUCUUUGCUGCUUCACUGGCGAGUUAGUUCACUUCAGUUGCUGUGACACACCUGCAGUCACUCACAACGGGAUUAUGACCAGGUAAUGCAGAAAAGACGUCGAUAAGAUGGACAUCAAAACAUCUCCGUUAUCUCCAAAAUGUCAGCGCGGAUCAUCAUUUGUUGUUGGUAAUAUUUGUGUUUGUGUUAGUUAACCCGUUGUCUGCCACGCCUUUGUUCUCCCCUUGCUCCUUUGCACGGGUCGCGCUGGUCGGCCUCGUGGUUUACAAGCCGUGGGGUCGGAAUGUCGCCAAGCCCAAAAUUUGCCGCAAGGCAAGCCUAUUAGGCAAUGCACAAUAGUUCCCCCUUGUCGAUGCGGUGACUUGUCAGCAAUGACAAGCCCCACCUUGGUCAUGGAUCCUUCAGACAUGGCGCGUAGAGAGUAGAGAACAACCUACGGGU